UGAUGAAGCUGGGCAUGUCCCUGAGAAGGAUGCCCUGCAUCCCUUUUAUCCAAUCAAUUUUGGUCCGGAGAUACCCAUUUGUCAGCUGGCUCUCAUCUGUUCAUGUGCAGCAAGAGAAUCAAGGAAAGCUCGCAAUCUAGGCGGUGAAAAGGACCUUUUGAAGAGAUGAAGAAAACAAGGACAGGAAAUCUUCAAGAAGGGACUUAGAUCGAGUCCAUUUUCACUAUUUUGGUCUUGGAAGCAACAAGUGUGCUCCAGAAAAUUACAAGGACCGUUUUCAAAAGUUGAGUACAAUUGAUGCCAACCGCAUCUUCUCCAGAUAUUUCUGCCACAACAAAUCCCAUCUUAUCUCUAGAUGUGACGCUUAGUUUGUAUCAUUCUUUGACUUCAAAAAUGACAGGCCCAGACUAAAUUUAUUUUAAGACUCGAAUCCAAAGCAUUGGGAUUUGAUCACUAUUUGAAGUGUAGGUAGACCGUAGACCGGACAUUUCAGAUUCCGUGGUUUAAUUAUAUGGGAUUGCAACUGAUCUGGGCAAGAAUGGUUCGGUUAGAUAAUGGAAUGCACUCCAAGGCCUAACAUUUUCUAUGUAGGGGAUCAGGGUGAGUUCAGAAUUAACGAUUUACGUCUUUCCAGAUGAAUAUCAUAUAUGAUUCAACUGUCUAGCAGCGGAGACGGAGUUCGGGAGGAUGGAAUAUGGAUAUUUCAGUAUCAUUUUCGAGUUGGUAGAUCGGGAGAGAGAGGUGAAACUUUCCAGUUGGGUAGGGAGAGCUCCAGAAAUAUGGGCAUUUAGACUAUCAUUUUCAAACACCUACAAGUACUCAGUGAUGUAGAGAAAGGGGGGACUUGAGGAAAAGUUUGCUGAAAAGAAUAGGUUUCAUGUUCUUCAAAUUUCUAUCAAAUUUAAACGAUGUUUUCUCAUUCCAGAAAUCUUAUUUUUCAAAAUAUUUGGAUAGAUCAAGCAUUUCCAUGAGAGAGCGAGCUGUGACUAGUGAAAGCAUGAUUUACUUAACGGAAGUGAAAACUUUAAACUAAAGUGAAAUCCUGCACUGAGAAGGCAUGGCUCAGAAAAAAAAAAAAAGCACCCUACGGUAGAGCAGCUUUGUAAAUAAUUAAAAAAAAUUCGACGUUUGGUUCAUUUUUAUGCAGUCAGCUAAAGCAAGAAUACUGGAGCAAGGCAACACAGAAAUUCCCAACAAAAAAGAUCUAACCAUAAGAAAGCAGCAUAUGAACAUAGAUACCCUUCAAUGGCGUGUAACCUCUCUCUAUGAGAUCAAGGUAAUGAAAGUAGCCCCAGAAGCCACAGGCGCUCGUAGUCCAGAAGAAGACCACAGGCAACUCAAGCUCCCGGGCAGCCUUGUGGGUGAAACUCAUGACUCCAUCAGAAAUUAUGCAAGUCACCGGUGGG